GUUCCCGUAGCUCAGUUGGUACGAGCAUUCGGCUGUUAACCGAAGGGUCGGAGGUUCGAGCCCUCCCGGGAACG
rnacentral:tRNA from 1 species